UACGAAGGGGGCUAGCGUUGCUCGGAAUUCCUGGGCGUAAAGGGAGCGUAGGCGGACAUUUAAGUCAGGGGUGAAAUCCCGGGGCCCAACCUCGGAAUUGCCUUUGAUACUGGGUGUCUUGAGUAUGAGAGAGGUGUGUGGAACUCCGAGUGUAGAGGUGAAAUUCGUAGAUAUUCGGAAGAACACCAGUGGCGAAGGCGACACACUGGCGCAUUACUGACGCUGAGGCUCGAAAGCGUGGGGAGCAAACAGG
rnacentral:rRNA from 1 species